rnacentral:rRNA from 1 species
CCUACGGGAGGCAGCAGUCGAGAAUCAUUCACAAUGGGGGAAACCCUGAUGGUGCGACGCCGCGUGGGGGAAUGAAGGUCUUCGGAUUGUAAACCCCUGUCAUGUGGGAGCAAAUUAAAAAGAUAGUACCACAAGAGGAAGAGACGGCUAACUCUGUGCCAGCAGCCGCGGUAAUACAGAGGUCUCAAGCGUUGUUCGGAAUCACUGGGCGUAAGGCGUGCGUAGGCUGUUUCGUAAGUCGUGUGUGAAUGGCGCGGGCUCAACCCGCGGACGGCACAUGAUACUGCGAGACUAGAGUAAUGGAGGGGGAACCGGAAUUCUCGGUGUAGCAGUGAAAUGCGUAGAUAUCGAGAGGAACACUCGUGGCGAAGGCGGGUUCCUGGACAUUAACUGACGCUGAGGCACGAAGGCCAGGGGAGCGAAAGGGAUUAGAUACCCGAGUAGUC